rnacentral:lncRNA from 1 species
UGGAAAUAACAGAAAUAAUAAUGGAAAUAACGGAAAUAAUAACGGAAAUAACGCAAAUACGGAAAUAACCUCCUCAGACACAGAAACAUACGGCAGAAUAUUAAGUGACAGGUCAAGAACAACAACGGAAGUAACGGAAAUAAUGGAAAUAACGGAAAUUACCUCCACAGAGACAGAAACUUACGGCAGAAAAUUAGGCGACAGGUCAAGAACAACAACGGAAAUAACGGAAAGAACGGAAAGAACGGAAAUAACCACCGAAAAACAGAAACAUACGGCCGAAAAUUAGGAGACAGGUCUAGAACAACAACGGAAAUAACAGAAAUAACGGAAAUAACAAAAAUAACAGAAAUAACGAAAAGAACGGAAAGAACAGAAAGUACGGAAAGAAUAGAAAGAACGGAAAAUACGGAAAUAAUAACGGAAAAAAACGGAAAUAACCUCUAAAGGGACAGAAACAUACAGCAAAAAAUUAGGUGACAGGUCAAGAAUAACAACGGAAAGAACGGAAAGAACGGAAAUAAUAACGGAAAUAACGGAAAUAACCUCCAGAGACAGAAACAUACAACAGAAAAUUAACUGACAGGUCAAGAAAAACAAUGGAAAUAACAGAAAAAACUGGAAUAAUGGAAAUAAUAAUGGAAAUAACUGAAAAAAAUAAGGGAAAAAAUAACAGAAAUAACGGAAAUAACGCAAAGAACCUUCAGAGAGACAGAAACAUACGGCAGAAAAUUAACUGACAGGUCAAGAACAACAACAGAAAUAAGGGAAAUAACGAAAAUAACGGAAAUAAUAACGGUAAUAACAAAAAUAACCUCCACAGAGACAGAAACAUACGGCAGAAAAUUAAAUGAAAGGUCAAGAACUACAAUGGAAAUAACU